ensembl:misc_RNA 7SK 7SK RNA
GAAUGUGAUGGCAAUCUGUCUGCAACAUCUAUCAUUCCACUGAUCACCAGGUUGAUCUGGCUGAUCUAGCUGGCUAGGGAGGUGUACCCUUUUCUCUCAUUGUUCCAUAUGUGUCCCUCUUAAGGUUCCAUGAUGGGUCAGAGAAUGAUGUUCCAUGAUAGAGGAGCACUGUUCUUCUGUUGAGGAUAUAUGACUAACUGCACUUCCCUGCUAGAACUUCCAAACAAGCUCUCAGUUAAGGGUCUUCAUAAGAACAUGAGCUUCAGAUGUACCAUCACUGCAAAAUAAGCCAACAAAACAGUUUCUGAAAACAAUUUGCUUU